AGGGCGUACGGCGAAUGCCUUGCCACUCGAAACUGAAGAAGGACGCGCCAAACUGCGAAAAGCUCCGUGAAGCUGUAAGGAAGCGAAGAAGCGGAGGUGUCCGAAUGGGGGAACCCGGCAGCAGACAUGAGCUGUCAUCUGCAGGUGAAUACAUGGCCUGCAAGAGAGGUACCCGGCGAACUGAAACAUCUAAGUAGCCGGAGGAAAAGAAAACAACAGUGAUUCCCUGAGUAGCGGCGAGCGAAAGGGGAGAAGCCCAAACCGGUCCGAGGACCGGGGUUGAAGGACCAUGACAUGGCAAGAACGAGGAUAGGAGAACGGGAUCGAAAGCCCGGCCGAAGAAGGUGAAAGCCCUGUAACCGAAAUCCGAGUAAAGCCUAAUGGGAUCCUGAGUACGGCGAGACACGAGAAAUCUUGUCGGAAGCAGGCGGGACCAUCCGCCAAGGCUAAAUAUAAACGAGUGAGCGAUAGUGAACCAGUACCGUGAGGGAAAGGUGAAAAGAACCGCGGGAGCGGAGUGAAAGAGAACCUGAAACCGUAUGCCUACAAGAAGUCAGAGCCCGUUAAGGGGUGAUGGCGUGCCUUUUGUAGAAUGAACCGGCGAGUUGCGACAGACUGCGAGGUUAAGGAGGAAAGACCGGAGCCGAAGCGAAAGCGAGUCUUAAGAGGGCGAAAGUAGGAUGUUGCAGACCCGAAACCGGGUGAUCUAGCCAUGAGCAGGUUGAAGUUGAGGUGAAACUCAAUGGAGGACCGAACCGACUACCGUUGAAAAGUUAGCGGAUGACUUGUGGCUAGGGGAGAAAUUCCAAUCGAACCCGGAGAUAGCUGGUUCUCCCCGAAAUAGCUUUAGGGCUAGCGUCGGAAAGAACCUUAGUGAAGGUAGAGCACUGAAUGUGUGAUGGCCCCAUCCCGGGGUACUGAAUACAAUCAAACUGCGAAUGUCAUUAAGGAUGUCCGGCAGUCAGACUGUGAGUGAUAAGGUCCAUGGUCAAGAGGGAAACAGCCCAGACCGCCAGUUAAGGUCCCAAAAUACAGGCUAAGUGGAAAAGGAUGUGGGGAUGCCCAGACAACUAGGAGGUUGGCUCAGAAGCAGCCAUCCUUUAAAGAGUGCGUAACAGCUCACUAGUCGAGUGACCCUGCGCCGAAAAUGUACCGGGGCUAAGCCUGAUACCGAAACUGCGGAUUGUAGGAAACUAUAGUGGUAGGGGAGCGUUGUAUACGAGCAGAAGCCGUACCGUGAGGAGCGGUGGAUUGUAUAGAAGUGAGAAUGCCGGUGUGAGUAGCGAGAUGUAGGUGAGAAUCCUACACACCGAAAGCCCAAGGAUUCCAGGGGAAGGUUCGUCCGCCCUGGGUAAGUCGGGACCUAACGCGAGGCCGAAAGGCGUAGUGGAUGGAAAGCAGGCGAAAGAUUCCUGCACCCGUAUAUGGAGCGAAGGAGUGACGGAGACGGAUAGUGUGACCCUCUUAAUGGAUUGAGGGCGAAGCGAAGCGGCUGGUUACCAGGCAAAUCCGGUAACCAUAAGGCUAGAGCGUGACAGGUAAGCGAAAUCUUCGGAAAGUAGCGAAGCACAUGAUGACGGCUUCCAGGAAAAGCUUCUGGCAAUGCAUAUGCGGCCCGUACCAAAACCGACACAGGUGGGCAGGGAGAGAAUCCCGAGGUGAGCGAGAGAACUGUUGCCAAGGAACUCGGCAAAAUGACUCCGUAAGUUAGCGAGAAGGAGUGCUUAAGCAAUUAAGCCGCAGUGAAGAGGCCCAAGCGACUGUUUAACUAAAACACAGCUCUCUGCGAAGUCGCAAGACGAAGUAUAGGGGGUGACACCUGCCCGGUGCUGGAAGGUUAAGAGGAUCUGUUAAGAGCGAUCUGAAGCAGUGAUCCGAAGCCCCAGUGAACGGCGGCCGUAACUAUAACGGUCCUAAGGGAGCGAAAUUCCUUGUCAGGUAAGUUCUGACCCGCACGAAAGGUGUAACGAUUUGGGCGCUGUCUCGGCAGCAGACUCGGUGAAAUCUUAGUACCUGUGAAAAUGCAGGUUACCCGCAACUAGACGGAAAGACCCCAUGGAGCUUUACUGCAGCCUGAUAUUGAAUUCUGGUCAUACAUGUACAGGAUAGGUGGGAGACAAAGAGACGUGCACGCCAGUGUACGAGGAGUCGACGUUGGGAUACCACUCUUGUGUGACCGGGGUUCUAACCUGGUAUCGAGAACAGGUACGGGGAGAGUGUCAGGUGGGCAGUUUGACUGGGGCGGUCGCCUCCCAAAGAGUAACGG
rnacentral:rRNA from 1 species